GUUGUCGGAUUCACUUCAAUCCAUGUGUGUUGGUGUGGAUUGGGAUGGAAUUUAGUUUAAAUUCCACUUCAAUCCACCUCAACACAUGUGGAUUGAUGUGAAUCCGACU
rnacentral:pre_miRNA from 1 species